rnacentral:rRNA from 1 species
GACGAACGCUGGCGGCGUGCUUAACACAUGCAAGUCGAACGGUAAGGCUCUUCGGAGUACACGAGUGGCGAACGGGUGAGUAACACGUGAGCAACCUGCCCUUGACACUGGGAUAACAGUUGGAAACAGCUGCUAAUACCGGAUACGACCUUGAUCGGCAUCGAUCGGGGUGGAAAGUUCCGGCGGUCAAGGAUGGGCUCGCGGCCUAUCAGCUUGUUGGUGAGGUAACGGCUCACCAAGGCUUCGACGGGUAGCCGGCCUGAGAGGGCGACCGGCCACACUGGGGCUGAGAUACGGGCCCAGACUCCUACGGGAGGCAGCAGUGGGGAAUAUUGCGCAAUGGGCGAAAGCCUGACGCAGCAACGCCGCGUGCGGGAUGACGGGCCUUCGGGUUGUAAACCGCUUUCAGCAGGGACGAAGCAACACGUGACGGUACCUGCAGAAGAAGCACC